ACAAACGAAAUGGACGAAAGAAGGAAAAAGCAAAAAGAAAAGGCGAGCUAGUACUUUUGAGGUUUUUUUGUUGGUUCGUUUGAAAGGUUCUUUCUUUCUUUCUUUCAAUCCUUCGUUGAGGCCCCUUCCCCUCUCCCAAAUCUUGUAC
rnacentral:ribozyme from 1 species